GGGCCUGUAGUUCAGUGGGAGAACGCCGCAAUCGCAAUGCGGAGAUCGGCGGUUCGAAUCCGCCCGGGUCCA
rnacentral:tRNA from 1 species